CGACAUUAGAGCUGGGAAACCAUCGAUGCAACCAUCGAUUAUAUCGAUGGACUUUAAUCUUUAUGAUAUAUCGAUGGACUUUUGUCGAUAUCGAUAUAUCGCCGCUUUGAGUAACAAAUCAAACACAUAUAGUUGACAAACAUAGCAUACGGACAUUGUUAAACAUUGGUAGUUCCUCUUCAACAUGGACAAGUUUGUCGUUUCAAAUAAAACCUGCAAUGCCUCCACUGCAAUUGCAUCUUCAAAUGCAUUAACUGAAUCCAAUGAGCCUAGCACGAAACGAAAAAAAAGCACAUCAGAAGUUUGGUCACAUUUUGAGAAACUCAUGAAGAUGCUUGCCAAAUGCCGUCAUUGCGGAAAAGAGUACCGCACGAGCGGCAACACUUCCAAUAUGAUGGAACACUUAAGACGUGUACAUCCGUUCGUGGUAAGAGACCACGUUGAAACAACUGCUCCAUUCAUCUCAUGACAUCGAUCCGCUACAAUUUUGGAAGAUUAACGAACACCAAUUAAAUGCACUCAGCUGUUGUGCUAUUAUUCCAGCUAGCUCUGUGGAAAGUGAGCGAAUUUUUAGCAAGGCGGGUGAAUUGAUUUCUGACCGCCGGGAGUCUUUGAAAGAAAAAAAAAGGCCAAUCAAUUGAUUUUUUUUUUAACAAAAAUGAAUGGCUGUUCCCUGAAAACAACGAGACUAAUAUUUUAGUAUUAUCUUAUUUUUGUAAAUAUUGAAUAUUUACUAUAUCUUUAUUAAUUUGUUAUAUUUUUAUUUUUUAAUUUGUCGAUAAGAAAGAAAAUAGGUCUCUUUUAUAUUUAAGUUAUCUUUAAAAUCGUUAUGUUGAAUUUGUGUUAUGUUUUGGACAUGAAAAUUUAAUGAAUUAAACUUUUAUAUUUUCUCUAUA